GAACGAAACUUCUUUAUCACCGAGUGCUUGCACUCACCGAUAAAGAGUUGAGUGGCGAACGGGUGAGUAACACGUGGGCAACCUGCCCAAAAGAGGGGGAUAACACUUGGAAACAGGUGCUAAUACCGCAUAACCAUAGUUACCGCAUGGUAACUAUGUAAAAGGUGGCUAUGCUACCGCUUUUGGAUGGGCCCGCGGCGCAUUAGCUAGUUGGUGGGGUAAAGGCUUACCAAGGCAAUGAUGCGUAGCCGAACUGAGAGGUUGAUCGGCCACAUUGGGACUGAGACACGGCCCAAACUCCUACGGGAGGCAGCAGUAGGGAAUCUUCCACAAUGGGCGAAAGCCUGAUGGAGCAACGCCGCGUGGGUGAAGAAGGUCUUCGGAUCGUAAAACCCUGUUGUUAGAGAAGAAAGUGCGUGAGAGUAACUGUUCACGUUUCGACGGUAUCUAACCAGAAAGCCACGGCUAACUACGUGCCAGCAGCCGCGGUAAUACGUAGGUGGCAAGCGUUAUCCGGAUUUAUUGGGCGUAAAGGGAACGCAGGCGGUCUUUUAAGUCUGAUGUGAAAGCCUUCGGCUUAACCGGAGUAGUGCAUUGGAAACUGGGAGACUUGAGUGCAGAAGAGGAGAGUGGAACUCCAUGUGUAGCGGUGAAAUGCGUAGAUAUAUGGAAGAACACCAGUGGCGAAAGCGGCUCUCUGGUCUGUAACUGAC
rnacentral:rRNA from 1 species